CGCCGCCGAACUCGACCGGCGCCCGGCCGCCCCCGGGUCCAUGCCGGGGAUGCCGCGUCCCGCCUUCCCGCAGAGACGCGCAGGUUGGGGCGCCCUGGGCCGAGGGCAGAGGAAGACAAGAGGUGACAGACCCACUAUGCGCUUGGGCACAGCCACUCCUCAAGCCAGCUAUGAGAGGCGGGGACUCCUGUCACUCCCACUGUCCAGAUGGGGAGACCGAGGAUCAGAGGGGCUGUGUGUGACUCUGCGUUUCCUGGCUCUAUGACCACGAGGCACUGGGGAUACCGCCCACGCCGGCUGCUGCUGACACGCCCAGGUGGCCUCGUUCUCAGACAGCCAGGUGGGGCCCAGAGAGCAGGCCCUGCUACCGCCCAAGAGUCCUGGUCCAUCCCAGGCCCCCAGCUGGGCAUCACCAGGGCACAGACGGCAGAUGAGGGACCCGCAGACUGCUGCUUCCGCAGGUGCCUGUGUCUGAAAUCCCACCUUUAACCCUCCUCAGGCUCAGCACCGGGGGCUCCUCUCCUCCAGCACAAAGGCCCCGUCCUGGCCGUGCUGUGUCUCACCCCUCCACCCCUGGCGCCCUAGUUCCGUGACUCUGGGGGAGGGACUUUUUCUCCCUCGGCCUUGGUUUCCUGCUCUGUAAAAUGGGCUCAUAACUGUACCUCCUCACAGUGCUGCUAUGGGGUCUCUGUAGGGCCUCAGCCAGGCUCCAGGCUGGUGGUCACGACCCUCCUGGGGAGGCUGUGGCUCUCAGGCUCAGUUCACAGGCAGGAAGAGCGAGCCGGCUGAAGAAGCGCCAAGCUGGGACCUCUGUGGCUCCUUGCUCAUGGCUGUGCGGCUGGCCCUGGGGAUGCCGGUUCCUGUGGAGAUCUGUGUUGGGGGGCUCCAUCACGGUGCCAGUGGCUGCUUGCUGACCCACACAUGCUGCCCAUUCCUCCAAGGGCAGGAAGAGCCGGGGUCUGAGAACCGGUCCAAGGUCUCCUCCCAGACAGACAGGCAGACAGAUGGACCGUCAGCCUUGUUUCCACUGGGAAGAAAAGCAGCCGAGGGGUGGGUGUAAGAGCGGUCUUUUCUCCCCAGGUGGUCUGCCCGCCCCAGGUGUGGACUCCAUGUGCCUUUCUUACAAGGCUCCUCGCUGACCCUCGUCUGCUGAACCCUCACCUCCUCCCAAGGAGUCAGGGAGACUGGUGUGAACCUCCUGAUGGGGAAACUGAGGCUCUGAGAGGCAAAGGGUCAGGGAGUGGAGGGUGUGCUGGAAAACAGGCCUGUCUCGUUUCCAGGUCCUUGCCUUAAUACCGUGUUGUCCUACCUGGAGAUGGAGGGGCCUGGGGUCAGAGGGCAGCUUGGGGACCUGGCCCUGGGGGUGGAGGGGCCUGCUGCCUGUGCUCUGCAGCCCUCGCCCUUUGAGCCUGGACGGCACCCGGUUUGGCUGGAAUGUGCUGGCCUCUGGCCAGCAUGGCAAGCUCUCGAUGUGUCCGCUAGGACACACCAGCUGGAUGCUGUGUGCGCCUGGAAUGGAAGUGCCUCCUUUCCUGUCACUUGGCUUGGUCUUCUGUAGCCAUUCCCCACGGGAGGGGUGGGGCCAGAAGAGGGGACGUUCUUAGGUUUCUGACCUCUUGGUGUUUCUCUGCCGGUAUGGCCGGGCGGAGGAGUCACUGUCACUCGGCCCUCCAGGUGGACUCGGUGCACAGGCCAGGCCCUGAGUGCCUGGUUCAGGCCCCUGCCCCGGCUCCAGGGCACCUUCGCCUGUUACCUGGGAAGGGGUCUGCAGGAGCCUACUGGGAGCCAGCUGGGAAGGGGCCUGGCCCACCUGGAUUCUGUCCAGGGCAGCGUGGUCAGCAGGAGCCUGCCCGCCUGGGUGAAGACAGACGUAAAAUCCAGGGGGUGGAACACUUAGGGCUUGUGCUCUUAUCACGUGUGGGUUAGAUCUCAAGGAAAAAAAUCUAACAAAAUAAAAUAAAGUAAAAUAUCUGAUAAAGUAAAAUAAGAUGAAAUAAAGUGAAAUAAAUAAAAAUAGUAAAGUAAUACGAAAUAAAGUAAAAUAAAAUGAAAUAAACACAAUGGCACGGGAUGCUGGCCCUGCGCCCCCAGGCUCCCCCAGGCUCCCUGGGGCUACCACAGCCUGUGAGCAAUGAGGCCAAAGGACCCACGCUCCGCUCAGUUAGGCCUGACCUACAUGUCGGGGCUGCAUGCCUGCCGUGACCUCCCUUGAUCCUCGCUGAGACCGAGGAGGGCCAGUGACUGCCACUGUCCCUCUGAGACUGGAGGGUGAUCCCGAGUCACGCUGGGAGCUGGUGGCCAGGACCUGCUCGGUGGCUCCCUGAAGCCUGCGAGCUCCCCCCACCCACAAACUCCUCUGAGGCAAGGAUUCUGUCAUGAGCCAGGACAUCUCCCAAGAAUGAAAGGCCAGCAAGAGAGGCCGUGGCCACAGCUUCUGGCCAGGUCUGCCUCGGGAGAAGGCCUGUCCCUUGGCCCUGACCUGCAGCUCACCCCAGGACCCCGCCCAGGCUCGGAAGGAGGGUUUCCUGGUUCGAGGCUGGUUCCCUUUCAUACACAAUACAUUUCAGGCUGGUCUGGCCCAGAAACAGCUGCUCUGGGAGGAAGGGGUGGCUCCCUGAAGGCCACACUGUACCAGCCCAGGAAUCAAAUCUAGCCACGUGACCUGGGCCACAACAUAAUAACAACGAUAAUGACGGUGAUAAUGGCGAUGAUGAUGAUGGUGGUGGGGAUGAUAACGAA